CGGAGUGGCGGACGGGUGAGUAAUGUCUGGGAAACUGCCUGGUGGAGGGGGAUAACUACUGGAAACGGUAGCUAAUACCGCAUAACGUCGCAAGACCAAAGAGGGGGACCGUUCGGGCCUCUUGCCAUCGGAUGUGCCCAGAUGGGAUUAGCUAGUAGGUGGGGUAACGGCUCACCUAGGCGACGAUCCCUAGCUGGUCUGAGAGGAUGACCAGCCACACUGGAACUGAGACACGGUCCAG
rnacentral:rRNA from 1 species